rnacentral:rRNA from 1 species
UACGGAAGGCAGCAGUGGGGAAUAUUGCACAAUGGGCGCAAGCCUGAUGCAGCCAUGCCGCGUGUAUGAAGAAGGCCUUCGGGUUGUAAAGUACUUUCAGUCGUGAGGAAGGUGUUAAGGUUAAUAACCUUAGCAAUUGACGUUAGCGACAGAAGAAGCACCGGCUAACUCCGUGCCAGCAGCCGCGGUAAUACGGAGGGUGCGAGCGUUAAUCGGAAUUACUGGGCGUAAAGGGCACGCAGGCGGUUAAUUAAGUUGGAUGUGAAAUCCCCGGGCUUAACCUGGGAAUGGCAUUCAAGACUGGUUAGCUAGAGUCUUGUAGAGGGGGUAGAAUUCCAUGUGUAGCGGUGAAAUGCGUAGAGAUGUGGAGGAAUACCGGUGGCGAAGGCGGCCCCUGGACAAAGGCUGACGCUCAUGUGCGAAAGCGUGGGGAGCAAACGAGGGAUUAGAU